rnacentral:rRNA from 1 species
AAAAACUCCGGUGGUAUACGAUGGAUCCGCGUCUGCUUAGCCAGUUGGCGGGGUAACGGCCCACCAAAGCGACGAUCAGUAGCCGGCCUGAGAGGGUGAACGGCCACAUUGGGACUGAGACACGGCCCAAACUCCUACGGGAGGCAGCAGUGGGGAAUAUUGCACAAUGGGGGAAACCCUGAUGCAGCGACGCCGCGUGAGUGAAGAAGUAUUUCGGUACGUAAAGCUCUAUCAGCAGGGAAGAAAGAAAGUCCUUUGGACUUUGGACGGUACCUGACCAAGAAGCCCCGGCUAACUACGUGCCAGCAGCCGCGGUAAUACGUAGGGGGCAAGCGUUAUCCGGAUUUACUGGGUGUAAAGGGAGCGUAGACGGCAGCGCAAGUCUGGAGUGAAAUGCCGGGGCCCAACCCCGGAACUGCUUUGGAAACUGUGCAGCUCGAGUGCAGGAGAGGUAAGCGGAAUUCCUAGUGUAGCGGUGAAAUGCGUAGAUAUUAGGAGGAACACCAGUGGCGAAGGCGGCUUACUGGACUGUAACUGACGUUGAGGCUCGAAAGCGUGGGGAGCAAACAGGAUUAGAUACCCUGGUAGUCCACGCCGUAAACGAUGAUUACUAGGUGUCGGGGAGCCAAGGCUCUUCG